GUCAAAGCUUAACUGUAUAAAGCUAUAAUCUCAAGACCAUGUCUGAUUCCUCAUCUGAUAUUGAGCAAUUCUAUAUUAUUAUAGAAAAUUUUAUGUUAAAACUAAGUAACAAGAAAGUUAAACUUCUCUUACAANGCGAAGUNGUUACCUCAAAAAANGGAUUAACCAAUUNGAUAAUUNAACGNCCCCGAGUNCAAANNUACAACCNAAAAAGNAAANCCCAACCCAAUUNACGGUNAACCAANAAAAGUGCAUUUCAAGAAAGAUUUAAAGAAAAAGAAGGAACUCGGNAAAUUUUAACCUCGCCUGUUUACCAAAAACAUCGCCUCUUGACCCCAAUAAGAGGNCCCGCCUGCCCAGUGAUUAAAUUUAACGGGCGCGGUAUCCUAACCGUGCAAAAGGUAGCGUAAUCACUUGUUCUUUAAAUAAGGACUAGUAUGAACGGCACCACGAAGGUUAUACUGUCUCCUUUUUCUAAUCAGUGAAACUAAUUUCCCCGUGAAGAAGCGGGGAUAAUUUAAUAAGACGAGAAGACCCUAUGGAGCUUUAAACACAAUAACAAUAUUUUAUAAAUUUAUGAAAGCACUAUGACUAUUAGUUUUAGGUUGGGGUGACCGCGGAGAAAAACAUAACCUCCACAUUGAAUGAAUCUAAGCCCAGAGCUACAACUUAAAGCAUCAACAUAUUGACAUCAAUUGACCCAAUUAUUUUGAUCAACGAACCAAGUUACCCUAGGGAUAACAGCGCAAUCCACUUUAAGAGCCCCUAUCGACAAGUGGGUUUACGACCUCGAUGUUGGAUCAGGGUCUCCCAGUGGUGCAGCCGCUACUAAAGGUUCGUUUGUUCAACGAUUAAUAAC
rnacentral:rRNA from 1 species